UACAGAGGUCCCAAGCGUUGUUCGGAUUUACUGGGCGUAAAGGGUGCGUAGGUGGUCGGGUAAGUCUCAUGUGAAAUCUCCAAGCUUAACUUGGAAAUGGCAUGGGAUACUAUUCGGCUAGAGGAUUGGAGGGGGGGACUGGAAUUCCCGGUGUAGCAGUGAAAUGCGCAGAUAUCGGGAGGAACACCAAUGGCGAAGGCAGCUCGCUGGGACGUUACUGACGCUGAGACGCGAAAGCGUGGGGAGCAAACAGGG
rnacentral:rRNA from 1 species